rnacentral:rRNA from 1 species
UGGGGAAUAUUGGACAAUGGGCGAAAGCCUGAUCCAGCAAUGCCGCGUGAGUGAUGAAGGCCUUAGGGUUGUAAAAUCCUUUCGUGGGGGACGAUAAUGACGGUACCCCAAGAAGAAGCUCCGGCUAACUUCGUGCCAGCAGCCGCGGUAAUACGAAGGGGGCUAGCGUUGUUCGGAUUUACUGGGCGUAAAGCGCGUGUAGGCGGGUCGUUAAGUUGGGGGUGAAAUCCCGAGGCUCAACCUCGGAACUGCCUUCAAAACUGGCGACCUGGACUCAAGCAGAGGCAAGUGGAAUUGCGAGUGUAGAGGUGAAAUUCGUAGAUAUUCGCAGGAACACCAGUGGCGAAGGCGACUUGCUGGGCUUGUAGUGACGCUGAGACGCGAAAGCGUGGGGAGCAAACAGGAUUAGAUACCCACGUAGUCCCUGAGCGGGCUGGCAAGGCGCAU